GUCCGGUGGGGACAGGCGGCCCGCCAGCAUGGAGCUGCAGCGCCGGAAGCUACUCGCCCAGUGUCAAAAGAGCCUGGCCCAGGCGGUGACCGAGGUGGAGGCGGUGUUCGGGCUGCUGGAGGCCGCGGGAGUGUGACGUCCAGGCGAGCGGAGGCAGCUGGACAAGGAGGCGGGAGGCGCCAAGGCGGAGCUGCUGCUGCUGAAGCUGCUCCUGGCUAAGGAGCCGGACCACUUCCAGGACUUGGGUGGCACAGCGCUGGAGAAGACGCAGCCUCACCUGCUGCCCAUUCCCUACCUGAAAGGCGUCAGGCCGCUACUUGCCCGCCAAGGGCGAGGGACAGCUGAGGAGCCAGAAUCCCCAACACCCCUCCAUGCCAGGCAGCAGGUAAACGAGGAGGUGGCAAACCUGACCACUCAACUACAGCUGAUGAUCCGCGAGAGAGAUGAGCUGCGCAAUCACCUGGCCUCCAUCACCAAUGGGGGGCCCUGGGACGGCAGGAUCGAAAAUGUCAAGCAGGAGCUGGUCCAGGCCAAAGCCCAGAACAAGACCCUCCUCCUGGAGAUGGAGGGGCUGAAACUAGAGCGGAUAAUGAAGCAUUGAGCA